rnacentral:sRNA from 1 species
CAGCAACCAGAUUAGGAUAUGAGCAUGC